rnacentral:rRNA from 1 species
AUUGGACGCUGGCGGUAUGCUUAACACAUGCAAGUCGAACGGUAGCAGGCUUUCGGGCGCUGACGAGUGGCGGACGGGUGAGUAACGCGUAGGAAUCUGCCUCAUAGUGGGGGACAACGUGGGGAAACGUCACGCUAAUACCGCAUACGCCCUACCGGGGAAAGGACGGGGCGUCUUCGGACCUCGCGCUAUGAGAUGAGCCUGCGUUAGAUUAGCUAGUUGGUGGGGUAAAGGGCCUACCAAGGCGACGAUCUAUAGCUGGUCUGAGAGGACGAUCAGCCACACUGGGACUGAGACACGGCCCAGACUCCUACGGGUGGCAG